UCUUUAAGAUAUUUUUUAAAGUAAGACCUGCUCCAUGAAAAAAUUUUAAUAGCCGCAGAACUCUGUGCUAAGGUAGCAUAAUCAUUAGCUUUUUAAUUAAAAGAUAGAAUGAACGGUCAAACACAAUAUAAACUGUUUCAAUUAUUCAACAACGAAAUUAACUACAAAAGUAAAAACUCUUUUAUUCAUAAGAAAGACGAUAAGACCCUACAAACUUAUUAAUUAGCUGGGGCGGCACCAUAAAAAAACCUUAUUUUAAAAAUGAAUACAAAACAAACAACAUUUAACGAAAAUUAGUUACUUUAGGGAUAACAGCGCUACUUUUUUUUAAAGUUCUAAUAUAAAAAAAUCCUACGACCUCGAUGUUGAAUUAAGCUCCUUUAUAAAGCAAAAAUUAUUUAAAAGGUGGUCUGUUCGACCAAUA
rnacentral:rRNA from 1 species